rnacentral:rRNA from 1 species
AGCUCGUGCCGUGAGGUGUUGGGUUAAGUCCCGCAACGAGCGCAACCCCUGCUACUAGUUGCCACCAGGUAAUGCUGAGCACUCUAGUAGGACUGCCUACGCAAGUAGUGAGGAAGGUGGGGAUGACGUCAAGUCCGCAUGGCCCUUACGCCUAGGGCUACACACGUGCUACAAUGGUCGCUACAAAGGGUUGCAAUACCGCGAGGUUGAGCUAAUCCCUAAAAAGCGGUCUCAGUUCGGAUUGCAGUCUGCAACUCGACUGCAUGAAGCUGGAAUUGCUAGUAAUCGCGCAUCAG